rnacentral:tRNA from 1 species
GCUCGUGUGGUCUAGUGGUAUGACAUCUCUCUCACAUAGUGUCUUGACAUUGUUGGUUACAGAGAAGAUCCUGGGUUCGAUCCCCAGCAUGAGCA